AGUGAACGCUGGCGGUAGGCCUAACACAUGCAAGUCGAACGGCAGCACAGGAGAGCUUGCUCUCUGGGUAGCGAGUGGCGGACGGGUGAGGAAUACAUCGGAAUCUACUCUGUCGUGGGGGAUAACGUAGGGAAACUUACGCUAAUACCGCAUACGACCUACGGGGGAAAGCAGGGGACCUUCGGGCCUUGCGCGAUUGAAUGAGCCGAUGUCGGAUUAGCUAGUUGGCGGGGUAAAGGCCCACCAAGGCGACGAUCCGUAGCUGGUCUGAGAGGAUGAUCGGCCACACUGGAACUGAGACACGGUCCAGACUCCUACGGGAGGCAGCAGUGGGGAAUAUUGGACAAUGGGCGCAAGCCUGAUCCAGCCAUACCGCGUGGGUGAAGAAGGCCUUCGGGUUGUAAAGCCCUUUUGUUGGGAAAGAAAUCCAGCUGGCUAAUACCCGGUUGGGAUGACGGUACCCAAAGAAUAAGCACCGGCUAACUUCGUGCCAGCAGCCGCAGUAA
rnacentral:rRNA from 1 species